GUUAGAAAAAUAUCCUCUUGAAGGAAAAGGAAAUGGGAGCAACCUAUUGAGGCGUUGACUUUGAAGCUUCAACAGAGUACCAACUACUAAAAGCUAAAAAUCUAAAAAAGGAAAAGAUAAAAAAAAAAGAGUAAAAACAAAAUAAGAAGAAAAAAAGCGUUGACAAAUGUGAAAGAAAAGAGAUCCAACGGCUGAGAUUGUUCAGCGUAAGCUCGGAUCCCAAACGUGUCAUGCACUUAAAAAAUUAACAACUUGAGCUAAACGUCAACGUAAACCUGUACUACUAAUACCUCUACUGCCGUUGUCUGAUUUAUUCACUUAUUUAUUUUCAACAAAUAAUUAUAACUAACAAAAAUAAAAUGAAGGUUGAAUUUGCAACAAAGUUGUUGUUUCUAUUGUUCUUGGUUUCUACCCUUCUUUGUGCUUCUGCUCGUCCCUCUUUCUUCCUCUCAGAAGAACAAGGGGUAGAAGCAAAGCCAAGAAUGUUGAGGACAUUUUUCUUAAAUGAUUAUGAUAAGCCAUCGGCCAACCGUAUGCAUGAUCCGGGCAACCGUAUGGGCGGUCACGGUGGUGGCGGACGACACUAAUUAAAUUUUUGAUUCAUUAAUUUGAUUCCUUUUCAUCUUAAUUAAUUAAUUAAGCCUGUUAAUUUUGUUUUGUUUAUUUGUUUGCUUAAUUAAGUAUGUACGUACGUAUCUCGUUGACUUAAUAAUUGUAAUCUCAUAAUUGUACAUGCAUGACGUGAUGUACCAGUGAGCAGUGACAGUUAUGUUGCAGAGAAUUUAACAAAUUUUAUUUGCAAAUAAUAAUAUACACUGAUCAAACUUAGCUUGCAGCAUGCAUGGAUUUUGCAUUUGAUCAUGUAUUACUAUGUUACUUGUAAGGCUUAUGUAAUAAACAAGAUGGAAUGGAUCCUUUAUUGUCUUAUGCGAGGAAAUAAAAUCGAUUUCGUCCCUUUUAUUGUCUA